AGUGAACGCUGGCGGUAGGCUUAACACAUGCAAGUCGAACGGCAGCACAGUAAGAGCUUGCUCUUACGGGUGGCGAGUGGCGGACGGGUGAGGAAUACAUCGGAAUCUACUUUUUUGUGGGGGAUAACGUAGGGAAACUUACGCUAAUACCGCAUACGACCUACGGGUGAAAGUAGGGGAUCUUUGGACCUUGCGCGAUUGAAUGAGCCGAUGUCGGAUUAGCUAGUUGGCGGGGUAAAGGCCCACCAAGGCGACGAUCCGUAGCUGGUCUGAGAGGAUGAUCAGCCACACUGGAACUGAAACACGGUCCAGACUCCUACGGGAGGCAGCAGUGGGGAAUAUUGGACAAUAGGCGCAAGCCUGAUCCAGCCAUACCGCGUGGGUGAAAAAAGCCUUCGGGUUGUAAAGCCCUUUUGUUGGGAAAGAAAAGCAGCAGGUUAAUACCCCGCUGUUCUGACGGUACCCAAAGAAUAAGCACCGGCUAACUUCGUG
rnacentral:rRNA from 1 species